GCAGAAGACACACCCCCUCGGGGGCCCGGAGCGACCCCGCGCUUAGGACUGCAGGCCUGGUGCUGCAGCACCGCCCCCGAGUCUGACUUCCAGGCCCGGGCAUGGGGUGCAGACGCGCAGACGUGGGAAGGCAACCCCCAGCUCCCCCGAGAGGUGGCCUUAGGUCACUCGCAAAAACAAUAACCCACAUGUCAGUGGGACUUGUAGUGAUUUUCUAAUUUAAAUUAAUAACAGAUUUUGCAGAUGGGCUUCCACUGAAAUAAGCCUUUGAGAAAAAGAAAAACUUUUUCAACAAGAUUAGGACAUACCAAGAAAUAGGAAGUAAAGCCAUGCCGCCCACCCAGCUAACAACUUUGAAAACUUGAAAUUUUAUCUAAGGCAAAUGCUUGCAUAACUUUAGGGAAGGGUGCGCAGGGCCAUGGGAAGAACCCUGGAGGUGAGAUACAGGAAGGACCUCAGACCGCAUCCACAUCCAGUUCUGCCUUUUACAACAGAGGAGCAGUGAUGCCACAGGGCUGACUUAACUAAAGCCACAUGACUUGCAAUGGACAACCCUGAAACUAGAACCCACGCACGAAGUCUCUUUCAAUAAGUUAGAGAGAAGGGAGAGUCAAUUCUCCAAUCUGGAGUUCUCGACAGUCACUAGAGGUUGCUGGGUCACCUUGGCUAGGAUAGGAAUGAGCUUUUACAAAGAAAUAUGAUGUCACUGCUGCUUGUUUUGUUGGUUAAAAUAAAAAAUGAGAAAAAGACAAAAGAAAUAUUAUGUGUUCUUCCAAAAAGGAUCAGAAGAAAAGGAAAGAGUCAAAUGGAAUUACAAAGGAAGGGUGGUGAUUGUAACCAUGGCCCAACUUAUUAUCCCUAAUUCCCUGAAGUUGAUUCCACACCUGGUUACACCUUAAGGCAUUUCUAGAAACAUGCUCAAUAUCUGAUCAACAAAACUCUGAAGUAGAAAGUGAAAAGGAUUAGUUUGUGUUUUAUUACAUUCUCCUCUCCCUGUUACAUUUUUCCCAGAGUGGUUUGUUGGGAAAGAUUUCUUUUUAGAAUUUCUUGCCAGCAUCAAGGGUAG
rnacentral:lncRNA from 1 species